CUCUGUGUUUCUCUUUCUCAAAAUCCUGGUUUUUUCUCUGAUGAAGCACCACCACCAUGGCCAAUCCCUACCUUCUGCACCACUACCAUUGCACAACCACUCCCCUACUAGUCUUCUUCUCCGGUGAAGCACCACCCACACCAUCUGAUCUUCUUCUUCGUUGAAGCACCAUCUCCCCACUAUCUGAACUCCUACCACCACCACCACGCACCUGCUAAAAAGCCCGAUUCUCAUUUUUCUAAAAGAGGGUUUCAGAUUUAAGGAAAAAAGGUUAUACAGAGGGUUUCAGAUCUGAGCCAGAUCUGGUCGGAGAAGAAAGGUCGGGGAGUUUCUGAGAGUUUAGAGAGAGAGCUUUGGUAAUGGUCGGAUGCGGUAACAUGUGAUGUUGGUGGUGGUCACAAGCUUUUCUUAUCCAACAACGGGGCAUGGACUGUUCUGAUCGAUAAGCUGCCGAAACUUCGAACCUCCUUCACCAGCAUUAAUCAAUCAGCUGUUCAUCUUCAUCAUCGAAAACUUCAGCGAUUCAUCAUCAUAACCAAAAACCUCAGUCAUCGAUCAUCAUCAAUUUCACCAACACUGUCGUCAUAGCGGCGGAGCCGCCGUCAUCGGAGUUCCUUUCUCUCUCCUCUCUCUCUCUCUCUCUCAUCUCCUGAACAUACGGGUGUGACUGUUGGAUGAGACGACGCCGGAGUGGCGGUGGUGAGAAUGGGGAGGAGGUGGCGGUGGUGGUGGUGCUAUAGAGAGAGAGAGAAGAGAGAGGGUUGAUCUGGGUUUUAUUGCUAAAAAAAAACUAAACAUUUAAAUGAAUUUACAACAAAUGAAAUUUAAAAAAUGACCAAAAUGCCCCUGCACUAAAGGACAAAAUAAUCUGUUUUCAACAGUUAAAAUAGAGGGUUUUUUGAUUUUGGACUAAAAUGGCAACAAAAUGCAAACCACAGGGACCCAGAUGUAAAAAGUUUGAGAUUUGGACUAAAAUGGCAAAAGUGCCCAAACCACAGGGACCAAAAUGGCAGUUUACUCUUUUUGUUUUUUCACCAUGGUUUGUUUAAAUAAGUGGAUCUUAAACCCAUUCUUUGGUAAGCAACUAUUAAGUACAGAAAACACCAUCAAAAUGUAGAGUCAUUCGUCGUUUAAUAAUAUAUGGUAUGUAAAUUUUCAAAAACCACCCGUGUUUGCACACGGGUCUUACCGCUAGUAUA
rnacentral:lncRNA from 1 species